AUUGAACGCUGGCGGCAGGCCUAACACAUGCAAGUCGAACGAGUGGCGGACGGGUGAGUAAUGUCUGGGAAACUGCCUGAUGGAGGGGGAUAACUACUGGAAACGGUAGCUAAUACCGCAUACCAUCAUAUGUGCCCAGAUGGGAUUAGCUUGGUGGUGGGGUAACGGCUCACCAAGGCGACGAUCCCUAGCGGGUCUGAGAGGAUGACCGGCCACACGGGAACGGCGACACGGUCAAGACUCCGACGGGAGGCACCAGAGGGGAAGAUUGGACAAUGGGCGCAAGCCUGAUGCAGCCCGUCCGGGGGGAGGAAGAAGGCCUUCGGGUUGUAAAGUACUUUCAGCGGGGAGGCGUUACCCGCAGAAGAAGCACCGGCUAACUCCGUGCCAGCAGCCGCGGUAAUAC
rnacentral:rRNA from 1 species